UUGGGCGUAAAGCGAGCGCAGGCGGUUAGAUAAGUCUGAAGUUAAAGGCUGUGGCUUAACCAUAGUACGCUUUGGAAACUGUUUAACUUGAGUGCAAGAGGGGAGAGUGGAAUUCCAUGUGUAGCGGUGAAAUGCGUAGAUAUAUGGAGGAACACCGGUGGCGAAAGCGGCUCUCUGGCUUGCAACUGACGCUGAGGCUCGAAAGCGUGGGGAGCAAACAGGAUUAGAUACCCUGGUAGUCCUAGCUGUAAACGAUGGACACUAGGUGUGGGAGAAUACGUCUUCCGUGCCGCAGCUAACGCAUUAAGUGCCCCGCCUGGGGAGUACGGCCGCAAGGCUAAAACUCAAAGAAAUUGACGGGGGCCCGCACAAGCGGCGGAGCAUGCGGAUUAAUUCGAUGCAACGCGAAGAACCUUACCAAGGCUUGACAUAUACUGGACCGCAUCAGAGAUGGUGUUUCCCUUCGGGGCUGGUAUACAGGUGGUGCAUGGUUGUCGUCAGCUCGUGUCGUGA
rnacentral:rRNA from 1 species